UUUUUUGUACUUAAUUAUAACUCCUCUUGUUGGGAUUGAUCCUAAUGAGAUGUAACAGAACAAAUAUUAUAUGUCAAGCUACAGUACAGGUCAUUAAGGCUUCACACACACACCUCACCGAAUCAGGCUAAUUAACUGCAGUGUAGUUAUGUCAUUUCUCCUAAAAUAGCUGUCAACAUUAACUUGAAACUUACUUCCCAUAUAAUGUUGUCUGAGAAUAUAGCAACAGUCUUGUUGCAUUUAGUGACCUUUUAUUCUUUUAUUAACAAAUAGAACAAUGAUUCAUCUUGCACAACUUACUCGUGUAGUCAGUCUGCAGUUUACUGCCCAGCUACCUCCUUCGCCUUGGUAAUAGCAGCAAUAUUUUGGCUUCAUCUGCGGGGUUUGUUCUACUGCCAACACUGCUCUUAUUAUAAAUCUCUUCAAAAUCAUCUAUUCUGGGCUGCGCGUUACCCCGUGUGAGCGCACAAUGCAAACUUGUUCAAGUCUGGGUAGAAUCAACACUGACGAUGGAAAUCCCCCAGAUGUUGGCUGUAUCCCAAUUCAUGGGCUGCAUUCUUGUGACAUUCAAAGGCCGCGUCAACCAUUGCUAAAUGGGACUUCGGAGCAUUUCCUGGUUGCAUCACCAAAUGUUCCUGCCCUUACAUCAUGAUUUCUGCCAGCCAGGCCUGCGAAGGUUUGAUGAGUGAUUGCAGGCUGCCCCGGGGAGCUGACUGGCUGCUGCCUUGGAGCCAGAAAUUUAAGGGCCGGCUCCUCCCAGUUCCUGGAGGCUCUCCUUCUUUGUCCCAGACUGCCAACAUGUCUGAUUUUGUACAAGCUAUGUUUUUGAAUAAAACUAUUUAAAAACGCUUCGCUGCUGGUGGUGCUUGGGGGGACAGGAAGAGGGAAGUCUCAUUUUCAUGUUGCGCCAGGGUUUCCCCUAGGCCCUGGUCUCA